GGAGGGGCUAAGCAUCCCUACGCUCACCACCAUUUUGUGUGGGUACCUGGCUUUCUUUUUACCCUCUCCUCCCUGCCAUUCUAUGUGUGAGGCGCAUAUGGUUAAGUGAAAUUGCUGUCUGCGAGAGGAUGCCUCUGCCUGUCCAGACUUCAUCAGAAGGAUUAAAGAAAGGGAUGAAAAAAAAAUCAAAAUAAAAUGAUGAUAGCGGGGCUGUGGCUUUUUUUUUUUCCUUUUUCUUUUUUUUCCCCACCCUGUACCCCUCAUAUCUGCCCCCACCCCCUACCUCCACCCCUGAUAGCUCUGGUAUAAGCAGAGUGGAACAUCAGAUGACAGAGAAGGAUCUCUUGCUGGGGUGCAGUGGGUUUGCAGGGAAGGGUUUCCCGGUUUGUGAGCUUCGGUAAGUUUAUUUGGCUCUGACAAGGUCUCACUACAAAGGAAAGCCAAAUUACAGGCAGUGGUGUUCCUCCCUGCAUCCAACGAGGGAAGUAUAGGGAAAAACCUGCAUCCAAUUAAAAGAAAAGUGACUCAGCAGUGGGGCAGCAGCCUUCUUUUACGACUACUUAGCUAUCUCACUCUCUCUGAUGUGCUCACACAAACAAACAAAAGACCAAAUGUGAAGCAUUAUAGGAGCAGAGAGGUGGGAACAUGCGUGCUGAGGUGGUCUGUUAGAUUCGCAGCAAUGGGGAUUUUAGGAAAAAUGAAAGAAGAGAGUGGAAAGAUUGCAGGAUAUUAAGGAGUAAUGGAUGUCACAGCAGGCCUCUGUAACAAAUUUUCACAUGCUUUCAUCAUUGCUCGAUGAGACUGAUCAAGGGAACAGGACAUUACUUGGUUUCCAAGUGCUGUUAUUACCCAGGAAGAGUAAAUAGUUAUUGCUGUGUUUAUCAUUCUGAAAGAUUGCAGAGCAAGCAGGCAAGCACAUCUCCUUUUUAAUAUAUUCAAUCAUCAAAUAAAUCCAAGUUUAUGUGGAAACUUUUAGAAAUAAAGUUAUUGUAAUGAUAUGCAACAUUACUCUGAACCUCAGUGAUGUAGCUUAUAAACUGGUUUUAACUGGCUUUGAAUAGCAGGAGGAAAAAUCUCAGCUGUAUGUCAACGUAAGUUUGAACUGACCAAAAGCUAAGAAACAAAGAAAUCCUGAGAGGACUGAAAAUCAACAUGGAGAAAAGAUCUGAGUCAGACACGAACAUGGGGAAGGUUUCGCGGCGAUUUGACUAAAUUCAAGUAAAUAGUGAUGUAUAUUGUGAGGUUUUUUUUACUGGGAUUUGCCAGAUACCAGAUCCAUCCCUGUAUUUGAGACAACAAAAAGUCAGCCCUGACAUUUUGCCCAGCCAGCAGAUAAUAUUUGCUGUUCGGAGACUCUCUUUCUUUUGUUCCAGCUUUUUAUAAACCCAAGACACUUGAAAUUUAAACCAAGUUCAGGAAAUAUUAUUCGCCACGGGGCAAGGUAAAUCUCUUGGCGGGGCUUUUCAAAGGGCUGCCCUGGGUUUGUUUAAAAUUUAUCUUAUUUAAAAGUGUAUUUUUUUUUUUUGCUCCUUGCUUUAGCUUUCAAAGACAUAUGUUUUGCCUUGAUUGUAGAGGUCAAGCUAAUGACGAGUGUUAUCUUUGAGUUAUUUGAAUAUAGCACAAAGCUCAGAUAAACAUAUUUAUAUGUAGAAAAUAAAUACAAUUUUAACUGCAAUAGAUAUUUGCCUUCAUGUGAUUUACUGAAAUAUGAGUUGCAUUAUGGUAAAUAGGUGGAAAAAAAGGUUCCAAUCACAGCCCAAGUGUGUGCAGGCAAGCAUGUGAGUCUGUGCUGCAGUAAAAAGAAAAAGGCUUAUGAGCUGCAUAAAACGGCUGCUUCUCUCAUUGUUUAGGGAAGCAGCACAGAAUUUUUAUUCAGCCUUCUUCCUCUGAGAGCGCGACUGACCCACCAGCUGACCAAUCCACAUGAAGCUCAGGGGGUGGGGUGACAAGAGGAGGAAAAAGGAGGCUGAGAGCACCCCCGUUUCAGACCGAGAGGCAAACUCCAUCUUUCCGACAGUUAUUCUCUUUUAACAAAAUCAAUGGUGUAAGUGCAGCCAAUAAAUCAUUAUUCUGCUUUAUUCGGUACAUGAACCUGAACUUGUUUCAAUCCUGAUGGAAAAAAAAAAAAAAAA